UACGAAGGGUGCAAGCGUUAUUCGGAAUUAUUGGGCGUAAAGGGUUCGUAGGCGGGAUCGUAAGUCAAGUGUGAAAUCUCCGAGCUUAACUCGGAACGUGCACUUGAAACUGCGUUUCUUGAGUCAUUGAGAGGGUGGUGGAAUUGUUGGUGUAGGAGUGACAUCCGUAGAGAUCAACAGGAACAUCAGAGGCGAAAGCGGCCACCUGGCAAUGUACUGACGCUGAGGAACGAAAGCGUGGGGAGCAAACAGG
rnacentral:rRNA from 1 species